GUGGAGGGGGGGGAGUACUGGUGAGAGAGGAUCUUACAUCCAGGGACAUCACCAAAAAUCCACAUCCCAGCACGCAAAGAGGGGGGAAUACUGAUAGUACAGGGUCCGACACACAGACCAUAGUACUAAAAGACGUAUCCCAAAGUAUCUAAUACGCAGAGGAGGGGGGAGUACUGGUGAUACAGUAUCCCGAACACGGUCACAACCUACCAGCAACUAGAAGUCCAGAUAGCCUAAGAUGAG
rnacentral:lncRNA from 1 species